UAUUCGACUCAUAAUUUCAAA
ensembl:piRNA 21ur-5084 ncRNA